rnacentral:rRNA from 1 species
UACGUAGGGUGCGAGCGUUAAUCGGAAUUACUGGGCGUAAAGCGUGCGCAGGCGGUGAUGUAAGACAGGUGUGAAAUCCCCGGGCUUAACCUGGGAACUGCAUUUGUGACUGCAUCGCUGGAGUGCGGCAGAGGGGGAUGGAAUUCCGCGUGUAGCAGUGAAAUGCGUAGAUAUGCGGAGGAACACCGAUGGCGAAGGCAAUCCCCUGGGCCUGCACUGACGCUCAGUGCACGAAAGCGUGGGGAGCAAACAGG